rnacentral:rRNA from 1 species
UGCAGUCGAGCGAACAGAAGGGAGCUUGCUCCCGGAUGUUAGCGGCGGACGGGUGAGUAACACGUGGGUAACCUGCCUGUAAGACUGGGAUAACUCCGGGAAACCGGAGCUAAUACCGGAUAGUUCCUUGAACCGCAUGGUUCAAGGAUGAAAGACGGUUUCGGCUGUCACUUACAGAUGGACCCGCGGCGCAUUAGCUAGUUGGUGGGGUAAUGGCUCACCAAGGCGACGAUGCGUAGCCGACCUGAGAGGGUGAUCGGCCACACUGGGACUGAGACACGGCCCAGACUCCUACGGGAGGCAGCAGUAGGGAAUCUUCCGCAAUGGACGAAAGUCUGACGGAGCAACGCCGCGUGAGUGAUGAAGGUUUUCGGAUCGUAAAGCUCUGUUGUUAGGGAAGAACAAGUGCGAGAGUAACUGCUCGCACCUUGACGGUACCUAACCAGAAAGCCACGGCUAACUACGUGCCAGCAGCCGCGGUAAUACGUAGGUGGCAAGCGUUGUCCGGAAUUAUUGGGCGUAAAGGGCUCGCAGGCGGUUUCUUAAGUCUGAUGUGAAAGCCCCCGGCUCAACCGGGGAGGGUCAUUGGAAACUGGGAAACUUGAGUGCAGAAGAGGAGAGUGGAAUUCCACGUGUAGCGGUGAAAUGCG